rnacentral:rRNA from 1 species
UACAGAGGGUGCAAGCGUUGUUCGGAAUAAUUGGGCGUAAAGGGCGCGUAGGCGGCCAUGCAAGUCUAAUGUGAAAGCCCAGGGCUCAACCUUGGAAGUGCAUCCGAAACUGCACGGCUAGAAUCUCGGAGAGGGUGGUGGAAUUCCCAGUGUAGAGGUGAAAUUCGUAGAUAUUGGGAGGAACACCGGUGGCGAAGGCGACCACCUGGACGAAGAUUGACGCUGAGGCGCGAAAGCGUGGGGAGCAAACAGG